GGGUCAUUAGGUUGGUCGUGCCACCGGUACGUACUGGUCUCACUGAUUCCUCCUUCCUGAAGAACCGUAAUGCCAUUAAUUUGGUGUUGCGGGGAAACAGGACUGUUACUUUGAAAAAAUUAGAGUGUUUAAAGCAAGCUAACGCUUGAAUACAUUAGCAUGGAAUAAUGAAAUAGGACGAUCGACCCAAUUUUGUUGGUUUCUAGGAUUGACGUA
rnacentral:rRNA from 1 species